AUGUUGUGGUUCGGACAUUGUGCGAUCUUCUUCUUGAAUCUCUCCCAGGUUUCAUACAAUGCUUCAGUUGGGAGCUGUCUGAAGUUACUAAUCUCAUCCCUCAACUG
rfam:Capsicum annuum cultivar Zunla-1 unplaced genomic scaffold scaffold1587, whole genome shotgun sequence